rnacentral:rRNA from 1 species
UACGAAGGGGGCAAGCGUUGUUCGGAAUUACUGGGCGUAAAGGGCGCGUAGGCGGCCGAUCAAGUCAGGCGUGAAAUUCCCGGGCUCAACCUGGGGGCUGCGCUUGAUACUGAUUGGCUUGAAUGCGGGAGAGGAUAGUGGAAUUCCCAGUGUAGAGGUGAAAUUCGUAGAUAUUGGGAAGAACACCGGUGGCGAAGGCGGCAUUCUGGGCCAAAACUGACGCUGAGGAGCGAAAGCCAGGGGAGCAAACGGG